rnacentral:misc_RNA from 1 species
GAAAUGCGAUAAGUAGUGUGAAUUGCAGAAUUCAGUGAAUCAUCGAAUCUUUGAACGCACAUUGCGCCCCUUGGUAUUCCAUGGGGCAUGCCUGUUCGAGCGUCAUUUGUACCUUCAAGCUUUGCUUGGUGUUGGGUGUUUGUCUCGCCUCUGCGUGUAGACUCGCCUCAAAACAAUUGGCAGCCGGCGUAUUGAUUUCGGAGCGCAGUACAUCUCGCGCCUUGCACUCAUAACGACGACGUCCAAAAGUACAUUUUUACACUCUUGACCUCGGAUCAGGUAGGGAUACCCGCUGAACUUAAGC